CAAACUCCCAAUCAUGAUUAUGGACAAACUCCCACUUUUUAUGCAUAGUUAAAACUCCCAUCCAAACAAAACGAACCCACCAAAAAAAAAAGAAUGGUGAAACACUCCAAAACCCUAAACAGAACAUUUUCGAUUCCAAUGGAGGAGACACAGCGAUGCCGCAUCUCCAACUCAUUCCGCCACCGCCGACUUACCCGCAUCUGAGCCUACAUCAACGCGCCACCGUGCCAGAGCUCUGAAGCCCAAGGCCAGCUCCCUCUCAUUAUGGCGCGUCAUAUCCGCGCGGCGUCGCUACUGCGUCGUCUUUUCCAGCAGGUUUUGCCACUUUUUCUGCUUUUGCUCCGGCGGAUGUGAAGCACUCGGAGCAUGGUUUGGGUGUAGACUCAGUGCCGAUGGCUGAGGAGAUCUGAGAGAAGAGCGAAACCGAGAGAUUCAGAGAGGAGAGACAGCUCGCAUCGCCAUCGCCACUGCCGUCGCCAUUGCGGUUUAUCGCCUCUCCAGAUCUGGUUGCAACGCCCAAGCCUCUGAGGAUGUUUCGUUACGACCUCUUCGACGAGACGCAGAACAAGCUCGAUUACAUCCUCUCUCUCACUGUCGAGAACUUGCUCGGGCGCCGCCUCCAUACUCUCGUCUUCAAGUCUGGUAUAGCCAAGUCCAUUCACCAGCGCUACAUUAGGUCUUUUACAUCUUUCAACAUUUUCCCUCAAUUUAGGAUUUUUAAAUUCUUAAUUUUCUAUCACUCAUGUUUCUUUGUUUUUUUGUGCUUCCUGUAAAGUUUAGAAUCUAACUUCCUAAACAUUCAAAUAGCUCAAAAUUAAAGCCACAGAGGAGGUUGAUUAAGCUGGAGGCUUUGGAGAAAGUCAUCCAUGAAAGAAUAGAUGCUCCCAGAGCACCUAGGCAGUGGUGGUUUGGCAAGGGGACUGACUUGACUCCUUCUUACAUUUUCGAGGAUGAUGUUAAACACUUCCAUUCGGUUAAACUUAAAGAACUUGAAGCUGGUCUGCUUGAGAAUAAGGCAAAUAAUUAGAAGUUGCAACACACCUACAACGAGCUGGUAGAAUAUAAGCUUGUUUUGGAGAAGAUUGUAAGUAUAGAUGGAAACAUUAUGCUUAGGCUCAACAGAGCAAUGGGUUGCUUCUUCGCGUGUUUCAGGAACAACGAUAACCAUCGUUGCCGCAUCACCUGACCGCCAACUCUUCUAGUUCCACCGAUGUUCUGGUAUCUCGAAACAGCUAUUCCUCUGUGUUUCGAGCUCAAGGCCAAGUUUCUUAAAGCCUGUGGUACUUUACCAGGGACACCUAUUGAAAUUUGGAAAACAUUUGAGAAACUGAAAGUGUCACCCUCUCCCAAUAAACAUUCUGAGCCAUCAAAGUUUCAUUCUUGGCUUCCGAAUGAGUCUGUUGAGAAACUUCAACUGGAUUUUCAUUCAGUUAACCCCCAAACACCCUUGAAAAAUUUUCAAGAAUUGGGAGAUAGUACAGACUCUUUUGAGCACACACCAGACAGGUUAUUCAUAUCUUUCAGAUGUUGAAUUAAUAUACUAUAUAUAUGUAUAUAUAUUAUUUGUUUCAUUGUUAGCAUGUUACAUUCUUACUCUGUUUACAACUUUCAUUAUAUACUUUUAUGA